AAUUGAUAACUUCCGGUCACAAUCCAAAACAGAAAUGUUCGUCCUCAUCAAUUUCACACAUAGGUACAGCCAAACAUUAAAAUUACUAGGUGCUACCUUCAAGAAUGAUGUGCACAUUAUUUUUAAGUGGCGAUGAUCUUAUCAAUCGCAAUUAUGUGAUUAUUACACGUAGGUACUUUACUUACACAUAGAUGCGAAACUUUAUAACGUUACAGAAUCUCGGCGUAUAGAUGCGCUCUAGAUUUACAAGUAUAGAAACACUAAUUGGUAAAAUUUUCCAUAGUAAGCGUAAACGGAAAAUGUACACAGCAGGAAGGUUUCAUCCCUCUAGCCACGAAUAUGAAAUAAGGAUUCGUACGCAAAUAAUCUGAAACGGAUAAUUACAGAUUUGCGGCAUUGGCAGUCGAUUACGCCAUGAUUAAAUAGCUGAUUGUCAACCCCACCAAUCUAGGCUUAUACUACUGAUAUAAUAAUUGUACUGUGGCGUAAAGCCAGACCAAUUCAAUUAUCGAAUUGUACUACGUAUAUGAUCAAUUAAAGAGAUUACUUCCGCGUCA